UGAGUCAAGUUGUUAGAAGAGUUCUAGAAGCUUCUAUAAUCAAUUAGGAAAUUUGUUACAAUCCUAUUCUAUAAAUAGAGGUGCUCAUCUAAAUGUAAAGGAACAAGUUAAAUGAAUCAAUGUAACAGUGAAAUAUUGAGAGAAUAAUAUAGUUUCUUCUUCCUUCUAUUUUCAUUGGUUCAUACACUUUAGUGUGAUCCAAACCUCCACUAAUGGAACUUUCAUGGUAUCAGAGCUAUUGAUGUAGGGUAACUUCGCAGUGUUCUCAACUACUAGAUACUCAGAGUUCAUCUGUGCUUCAGAAUUAACUCCAAAGGAAGUAUCACAAAGUUGAUUAAUGUGCUUCAAUUCUCUACAAAUGGCGAUUGAAACAUCUACUAAAAGUGGAAGCAAUGUUGCUCCUCCAAUGGCUACAUUUUCAAUACUCGAUCAUAUCAUCCUUUCCUGCAACACACAGAUUCUUUAGGUAGCUCUUUAGUCUCUCUUCAGUUUACUGGAUCUGAGAGUUGUGCACUAUGGAGUAGAUCAUUCAGGAUUGGACUUGUAGGUCGUAGUAAAUUAGGAUUUGUUGAUGGUUGAUUUCCUAAUUCUAUGUUUGAGCCUAUACUGCAUGAUCAAUGGGUAAAAUGUAAUGCUGAAGUUUUGUCUUGGAUUAUGAAUGUUGUAAGACCUGGGCUCUUGAGCUCAAUUGUGUAUGCUUCGGAUCUAAGGGAGAGAUUUAACACUGUUUAUGGAUCCAGAGUGUUUCAUCUUCAUAAAUAAAUUCACUCACUUAUCCAAGGAACUAUGUCUAUUGUUGAUUACUUUUCCAAAUUGAGAGAUCUUUGAGAUGAGUAUGUUGCUAUCAUGCCCCAUCCCUCGUGUCCUUAUCCUGAAUCAAGGAAAUUUGGUGAAAAUUAUGACUACCAGAGGUUACUACAGUUUCUCAUGGGUCUCAAUGACUCUUAUUCCCCUCCUAAGAGUCAAAUUUUUAUGAUGAGUCUUCUUCCCACAUUAAACAAAACAUAUGUUUUUCUCUUGGACCAAGAGUCUCAGAGAAAUCUAGUGCAUUCUGUUUAUCCAAGUGUAGGACUAAGUCCAAUUGUAGGUUCAACAAUGUAAAGUCACAAAGUUCCAGUCUACCACACAGGGUCUACAAGCAGCUCCUCUAUAACUGGUCUAGUAGUGGUGCAAGUAUGUCUGGAACUUAUAAAACAAGACAAAACAUUGUGCAAUCACUCAUUGUGUCUGCAAAGGGCACUCUAAAGAGCAAUGCUGCAAAAUUAUGGGAUAUCCUUCUUACUUUAAGUCAAAAAGGAAAGGCUCCUCUUCAGGUGCUUCUGCACAUCAAGUUGAAAGCUCAUGAGAUGUUGGGCAUACAGUCAAUGAAACUUCUGGUUCCCAAGGUGGUGCUCUUUUUUCUCAGGAUCAAUACCAACAAAUCUUUCAGCUACUGUCUAAUAAUGUCUCUAUCAAUAUGUAGAUGCAGGAGACACUAUUGAACUUACAGCCUAUUGUGAUUCUGACUGGGGUGCAUGGUAGGAAACCAGGAGGUCAGUUACAGGAUAUAUAGUAAGAUUUGGAAGAGGGAUUAUUUCUUGGAAAUCGAAGAAGCAAGAGAUAAUGUCAAGAAGUUCAGGAAAAGCAGAGUUUAGAAGCAUGACAGCAUGUGCUGCUGAAAUAACCUAGUUGAUCGGACUAUACGAAGAACUAGGAAUGAAGGUGGCUCUGCUAGUAAAACUAACAUGUGACAGCAAAAUAGCUAUUCAGAUUGCAGCCAACUCCAUCUUUCAUGAAAGAACAAAGCAUUUUUGACGUUGAUUGUCACUUAAAUAGAGAAAGGAUAUUCCAAGGAAUGUUUAAAACUGAACAGGUAAACACCAAGGAUCAACUAGCUGAUUUAUCAACUAAAAGUCUUGGAAAGGUUCAACACAGUGUAUUGAGAAGCAAACUGGGAAUGAAGAACAUAUUUCAGCCAUAAGCUUGAAGGAGAGUGUUGAGCAAUAAAGGUGAAAACAAGCUAUAUGGUGUGAAGUGAGUCAAUUAUUAGAAGAAUUCUAUAAGCUUCUACAAUCAGUUAGGAUGUUUGUUACAAUCCUAUUCUAUAAUUAAUAGAGGUGCUCAUCUAAAUGUAAAGGAACAAGUUGACAGAAUCAAUCAGUGAAAUAUUGAGAGAAUAAUACAGUUUCUUCUUCCUU